rnacentral:rRNA from 1 species
ACAGACAGCCAGGAUGUUGGCUUAGAAGCAGCCAUCAUUUAAAGAAAGCGUAAUAGCUCACUGGUCGAGUCGGCCUGCGCGGAAGAUGUAACGGGGCUAAACCAUGCACCGAAGCUGCGGCAGCGACACUAUGUGUUGUUGGGUAGGGGAGCGUUCUGUAAGCCGUUGAAGGUGUGCUGUGAGGCAUGCUGGAGGUAUCAGAAGUGCGAAUGCUGACAUAAGUAACGAUAAAGCGGGUGAAAAGCCCGCUCGCCGGAAGACCAAGGGUUCCUGUCCAACGUUAAUCGGGGCAGGGUGAGUCGACCCCUAAGGCGAGGCCGAAAGGCGUAGUCGAUGGGAAACAGGUUAAUAUUCCUGUACUUGGUGUUACUGCGAAGGGGGGACGGAGAAGGCUAUGUCAGCCGGGCGACGGUUGUCCCGGUUUAAGCAUGUAGGCGGAGGUUCCAGGUAAAUCCGGUACCUUAUUAACGCUGAGGUGUGAUGACGAGGCACUACGGUGCUGAAGUGAUAAAUGCCCUGCUUCCAGGAAAAGCCUCUAAGCAUCAGGUAACACGAAAUCGUACCCCAAACCGACACAGGUGGUCAGGUAGAGAAUACCAAGGCGCUUGAGAGAACUCGGGUGAAGGAACUAGGCAAAAUGGUGCCGUAACUUCGGGAGAAGGCACGCUGAUGUGUAGGUGAAGCCCCUGCGGGUGGAGCUGAAAUCAGUCGAAGAUACCAGCUGGCUGCAACUGUUUAUUAAAAACACAGCACUGUGCAAACACGAAAGUGGACGUAUACGGUGUGACGCCUGCCCGGUGCCGGAAGGUUAAUUGAUGGGG